UUAAUAAGGCUUCAAAUUGCUAGACAAUUGUACAUCUUUUAUUUGGUGUAAAUUACUAAAAUGUUGUAGCAACGCAGAACAUCAAGCAAGUUCUUUCCAGAUUUGGAAGCAACAUAAUAUUCUCUAAUGGAAUGAAAGACCCAUGGAGCAGAGGAGGGGUACUUGAGAACCUGUCAUCAUCCAUUGUUGCUCUUGUCACGGCAAAAGGUGCUCAUCAUGUAGAUUUCAGAUCUGCUACAGAAGAAGAUCCAACUUGGCUUAUAGAACAAAGGACGCUAGAAGUGGAAAUAAUUAGAAGUUGGAUAGAUAAGUACAGAGAAGACGAAAUGAUAUGAAGAAAUAACUGCAAACAAUUUGAUGACCGGGGGAUGUAUUGUAAAACAAUAAGUCCCCACAAGGUGGCUCAUUACAUUCAUCACAAUUCCAAUAAUUUGUAAUUUGUUACCAAGUCAAUUAUUUUUAUCUUCAAUAUUAUGCUCAAAGAGUUUAUUCUCUUUCUAUGCCA